GGUUAAGUGACUAAGCGUACACGGUGGAUGCCUAGGCAGUCAGAGGCGAUGAAGGACGUGCUAAUCUGCGAUAAGCGUCGGUGAGCUGAUAUGAAGCAUUAUUAGCCGGCGAUGUCCGAAUGGGGAAACCCAGUGCAAUCCGUUGCACUAUCGUUAAGUGAAUCCAUAGCUUAACGAGGCGAACCAGGG
rnacentral:rRNA from 2 species